UGGAGAGCCCACCACUUUCUGAGGCGGUCUGUUCCCCUGUCAAACAGCUCUUACCUUCAGAAAGUUCUUCCUAAAGUCUAGUUGGAAUCUCCUUUUUUAUCCUUUGAAUCCAUCCGUUUGGGUCCUACUCUGGAGCAGCAGAAAACAAGCUUGUUCCAUCUUCCAUGUGAUGGUUCUUCAGCUACAGGUAACACUUUUACGUGCAUUCAAUAUGCGUGCGGCCGUGUGCAUUGCCACAUCCCGGAAGUGGCCAGAAAAUGGGGCAGACAGAAUGGGCUUGCAAUGCUCCACCAAUGCGUGUUUUGCUCCACGCAAAACAUUUGUCACCUGUAUUCAAAGGUGGCUGUCGUAUCCUCUCUCAGUCUUCUCCUCUCCAGGCUAAACUUCCCCAUUGCCCUCAACUGUUCCUCACAAGGCUUGGUUUCCAGACCCUUGAUCAUUUUUGUCGCCCUUCUCUGUACACCUUCCAUCUUGCCAACAUCCUUCUUAAAUUGUGGUGCCCAGAACUGGAUACAGGACUCCUGGUGGGGUCUGACCAAGGCAGAACAGAGUGGUACUGUGGUUUCCCUUGAUCUGGAUAAUGUACUUCUAUUGAUGCAGCCUAGAACUGCCUUAGCUUUUCUGCUAUCAAUAUUAUUAUUGAUAUACAGUACAGUCAUACCUUGGUUGUCGAACGCCUUGGUACUCGUAUGUUUCAGCUCCCAAACGAUUGAAACCCAGAAGUGAGUGUUCCAGUUUCCGAACAUUUUUUUGGAAGCCGAACAUCCAACAGGGCUUCCGUGGCUUCCAAUUGGCUGCAGGAGCUUUCUGCAGCCAAUCAGAAGCCGCUCUUUGGUUUCUGAAUGUUUUGGAAGUCGAAUGGACUUCCGGAGUGGAUUCCGUUCAACUUCCAAGGUACUGUAUGGCUGUAUUAACAAAAACACAGCAAGAAGAAAGAAAGCAGAAAAUCAAAGAUAAAGUGUCACAGCCUGGAAGGACGAAAGUGCAAAGAUACAGCUUGGCUCCAAAGUGAUAAUCAGGGAUACCCUCCAACAUUUCUCUGAUGAAAAUAGGGACAUCCUAAGGAAAAGCAGGACAUUCUGGAAUCAAAUCAGAAACCGGGACGGCUUCUGUAAAUCCGGGACUGUCCCUGGAAAAUAGGGAUACUUGGAGGGUCUGAUAAAGUACUAACUCAUACAAAUAUUCCCUUUACAAAUAGUAAAGAUUUAGGAAAAAUAAAAGUAUUAUCCACCUGUGGAUGCCAUCAUUACUGAUAGUCGGUGUUCUAUAUAGUCUUAAAUAAGCCUGUGUCCUGUAAUGUUAUAUCUGCCUUUUCCAAGUAUUCUCAGAGGCUUAAGCCAUCGAAUAGAACAUGGAAACUGUCUGGGAGUAAAACCCUUCCUUCUUCUCUCUGGAAAGGCUGCCCCACUCUGCACCAUUUCCUGUUUUCGACUCAAAUCCAAAAUGGCAGGAAGUUUAUCUAAUGGACAGAGAGGCAGAGGGCCAGGGGGUGAAGGAGGGCCGGGGGGAAGUCACAAGCUAAGGCCUUGGCAAGACGCAGGAAACUUCGAAUACCAAAAUUUUCCCCUUAAAUGGAUGCUUCUAAAAUUGUAACCACUCCAAAUCUUUCAGCAGCAUUGACUCAUCCACACAGGCAAUUAUAGGGUUUUUGUUUAUUUGUUUCUGAGAGAGAGAGAGAGAGAGAGAGAGAGAGAGAGAGAGAAUUGUUUAAUACGUUUUAGAAUAGAAUAGAAACUUUAUUCGCCUCAGCCAAUGGCCAUAGCAGCAAGAGAACAUUACAAUAUACACAGAAGAAAGUGAAAAUUAAAAAUAAAUUAAUACGUUUAUAUCCUACCUAACUAUGAUCAUGGGACGCGGGUGGUGCUGUGGGUUAAACCACAGAGCCUAGGACUUGCCAAUCAGAAGGUCGGCGGUUCGAAUCCCCGUGACGGGGUGAGCUCCCGUUGCUCGGUCCCAGCUCCUGCCAACCUAGCAGUUUGAAAGCACGCCGGUGCGAGUAGAUAAAUAGGUACCGCUCUGGUGGGAAGGUAAACAGCGUUUCCGUGCGCUGCUCUGGUUCGCCAGAAGCGGCUUAGUCAUGCUGGCCACAUGACCCGGAAGCUGUACGCCUGCUCCCUCGGCCAGUAAAGCAAGACGAGCGCUGCAACCCCAGAAUCGGCCAUGACUGGACCUAAUGGUCAGGGGUCCCUUUACCUUUACCUUACCUGUGACUAACAGUUGCUGGGAGGUGAGCAACACAAGAAGCCUGUAUUCUUUUUGGCCUGCUUGUGGGCUUCCCACAGCAAGAAGAAUAGCCUCCCAAGACCCAGGCAUUGCUUUCACCUGGAUGGUUUACCUGGGAUGGGGCAGGUGUGAAGAUCAUCCUUUUGUGGCUUCCUCACAUCCUCUGUGCCAUUCCAGGGAUGCUGUCUGCCUUGUCAGUCCCAGUCUGUGUCGCCCUAAUUCUAAUUGCUGCCUCUGCCUUCUGUGCCCAGGAGAGACCCACGUGUGCCCAAGAGAAUUUGAAGUUUGCUUGCCCAGGAGCAAAUUCCUCGGGUUAUCCUCUGAUUCCAACAGGUAAAAUUGUUGUGGUUCUCCCUCAGCAGGCUGUUGGCAGGAUGUGGCAUUUCCACAUGUCCUGCUGCCCUCUGGCAUGUGUUGGAUGCUGCCCUGAAGCAUGGUGAGAAGAAAGUGUUCAGAAACUGACAUGCUCAUCUUUUACACGUGGUGCAAGUCAUGGUCUGGCAGGAUCAGGCCCCAGAGGCUGGUUCUGAAAAACACAUCUGAAAAACUUGCUUUGAAUGUUAGGGAGGCAACCCAGUCCUGGUCAUGUGUGAAGGAACAAGGGCAGAGUACAGGGGAGCUUACACCAGGGGUGUCCAUUUUUUUCCCAAAGAGGGCCAGAUUUGAUGAAGUGAAUAUUGAGUUGCUGAGCUUUUUUGGGGAUUUUACCUCAGGACAUAUUAAAUCGACCGGCGGGGGCCGGAUUAGGCCCCUGAAACAGACUUUGGACAUGCCUAGCUUACACAGAGUGCUUUUCUCUCAGCAACCUAACUCAACACACAGGGUUUUUGUGAGAAUAAUUUGAGGUGAGAGACUUUGAUAUGGAAAUUAUCUUAAUAAUUAAAGGGCUCUGCUAGGGCAGCAGCUAUCUUGAUAAGAGAACACCAUACAGUAUUGGGAAUGGAAAUUUCCUAAGUAACUUUUCUUAGGAAGGCUGAGAGGGAGAAUCUUAGGAGCUGCCUUAGCGGUAGAGAUGGGUGAAAGAUGAUUUCAGCUUCUCUCCCUGUCAAAUCUUUCCACUCUUAACUCUGGUAACUUCCAAAUUGGAUUAUUGCAACACACACUAUGUGGGGCUGCCCUUGAAGACGACUCAGAAACUUCAGUCAGCCAGAUUACUGGCAAGUGUCCUGUUUAGAUCUCAUAUAACCCCUGUUUUAAUGCCGACACAUAAAGAGUAGCAUGACUGAAAGCUUGGAGUCAGAGGCAGCGGCGUUUGAAAAGAUGAUUUGUGUAUGAUGAACACAAGGAAGAAUAGAGAGAAAGCAAGAAGCAAAGGGAAGAAGGGGUGAAAUCGUAACAAAAUUCUAUUAGGUCAUUACAGAAGUGUGCAAGCUUCUGAGCGUCACCAAACCCUUUGGUCCAGCAUUGAUUUCUGUGAGACCUGAAAGCUUACACUCUUCCCAAGUCAAAGUUAAACCAGCCCCAUGAAAGCAGUUGUUUGACCUAUUGUGCAUCUCUCCUCUGUAGAGCUACCCCUACCACACUUUUUUUGUCUGGGGCCUGUUCUGCUGCCACCCCAAAUUCUGCAGAAGAGUUUCCGGAGGCAGGAAGCGCAAAAAGGAACAGCCUGUUCCGGAUGGAGCAGAGAACCUUGAUUUAGCUCUCUCUAGAGGAAGUUGCGGCGGCGUGGGGCCAAAUGGGCUGACUUAAAUCAUCAGCAGACUUGUGAAAACGCCAAUGAACCCGCCUCCCCGCCGCCCACCUCCAAAACCAAAGGCAGUGUCGGGGACAUCAGAAACCUCCAGUUUUAGCAGCCCAGUCAGAGCUGCAAAACCAGCUGUCAAGCGCCCGGGCAGGUGAUGCGUUCUUUCCUCUUGAACCUUGACUAGGUGUGCUUUGCAAACUGAGCCACCUCCUGUGACGCUCGCCCACAUUUGAACCUAAGAAGAGCCCACUGGAUCAGACCAAUAGUCCAUCUAGUCCAGCAUCCUCUUUUCACAGCGGCCGACCAGAAGCCCCAAUGGGAAACCCAUGAGCAGGAGUCGAACACAAGAGCCCUCUUCCCUCCUGUGAUUUCCAGAAACUGGUGUUCAGAAGCAUUACUGGCUCCAGCCGUGGAGGUAGAGCACAGCCAUUGUGGCAAGUAGCCUUAUCCUCACACAACAACCUUGUAAGGUAGGUUAGGCUAAGGAUAGAGAUUUGAACCCUGGUCUCCCACGCCCUACUCUGACACUCUAACCGCUACACCACCGCUGGCGCCCGAUGUGUUUUCAGUUGCCACCAUUUCUCUGUAUGGUCUAGGAGGUCUACAGCAGAUCUGUCCAUGCUAGAGCUGGCAUGGACUAGGUUUGGGAAGCUCUGGGUUCAAAUCCCUGCUCAGCCAUGCAGCUCACUGGCUGGUGUUGGACUCAUCACUCCUCGCUCAGCCUAGCCAUAGCUGUCAACUUUUCCCUUUUUUAAAGGGAAAUUCCCUUAUUCCAAAUGGGAUUCCUCACAAGAAAAGGGAAAAGUUGACAGCCAAGUGCCUAGCCUACCUCGAAAGAUUGUUGUAAGAAUAAAAUGAGGGGAGAGAUGGGAUAUAAAAUGUAAUUCAGAAUAAUGAAAAAAAAAUCUGUUCUAGUAAACAUUAAGCUUGUUUUCAAAGGAAAUUGUAGUGGUCAGUUUACUACGGAUCAGUUUCUUUAUCCAGACUAACCACACAAGGCUAACCUCAUCUGCUCAGAAGCCAGGCCCAAUGAAUUAAGUGGGGCUUACCCCCAUGUAGGUGGAGUUAUGAUUGCAACCUAAGUAAGUUGGGAAACAGAGCCAUUAAUUUUGAUGGGAACCGGGGUUAUGAUCCUGUCCACCAUUACAUGGCAACAAGACCCUCUGAACCGAGCAGAAAACUCUGUAGGUUUGCUCUAUAAGCUCACCAAAUGGAAGUCUGAAUCCAGCUCAUUUGUGUUUUCCACACACUGGCCAAAGGCCUUUUAUUACUUUCCCAGACUACUUAGAUCUAAUCUUGCAGAUUCCUUCAUCCUGCGUUCCUGAUCAUCCUGAGGCCUUCUAGUUUAUGACACAGUGUUUGAGUUAUAUUCUUUUUGAUAACUUUCCAGCUUUGAUAACUUUGCCACUGCCCUGGAGCGUGACAAAGGGCAUUAUAAAAUAAAACACCUGUUCUAACUAAUACUGCAUCUGCUUUGGAGCCAGGCUCAGCCACAGAAUCGUGGAAUUGCAGAAUUGGAAGGUACCCCAAGGAUCAUCUAGUCCAACCCCCUGCAAUGCAGGAAUCUUUUUGCCAAACGUGGGGCUCAAACCCGCAACCCUGAGAUUAAGCGUCUCCUGCUCUACCGACUGAGCUAUCCUGCAGGCUCUAAGCUGUCCUGCAGGUUGGCAGCCAUCACUGCCCCUUAAUGGUCCAUUUAAAAGGGACCCCUUUCCAGUCCCAUCCCUCCCUCCCACCCCAGAGUUACACCACUGACUCCUGCAGCUAUAAACAAGAGAUAUUUUCAGCCUACAAUAGACACCCAGUGCCUUAAGUCUUUGGAAAAGCUGGCCAGUGCAAAUCUAUGCAACGCUCUGUUUCCUUCCCACUUCAUCUUCUGGGACCAUUCAUUUGUGUGUGUUUUCCCAGCAGCUAUUGGCCCAUGUCAGGGAACUGCCAUCGGAGCCAGGGGGAGAGGGAGGGCUCCAGAGGGAUUCCAGAGAGUGUCCCGGGAGGGAGAGAAGCAGCACAUCUUCUGGGGAAGGAAAUCAGCGUAGCACCAGUGGAGAAGGGGGCAGAUGGGGGAAUCGGCGAGGUGGCUCCAUGACUCUUCGCGGGGGACCAGCGGGGAGAGCACGGGUCCUCCGCUGCCCACACCCUCCCUGCGCAGAAGGCUUCCGCGCAGGGAGACUAGGCGGAGACUAGGCGUCAAAGAACUUCUGUGCUGGAAGAAGUUCAAGAAACGCCCACUGACGGAUUCUGCCAGCGAUUGAGACAGUCACGGGCGAGUGGCUGUCCGGACAGAAAAGGUUCACUCAGGCAACCCAGCCAGGUGGGGUGCCGAUUUAUGCACGAGCAACCCCUAGAACCAUUACAGCCCAGGUCCCCUUCGUUUGCCUGCUUGAAGCCAAAAGCCACAGGGAUGUAUGUCCCAUGUGCUCCAGAAGCUUCUUGAAAGGCACCGGAGCAAAGGGGCUGAUGUUUUGCAAGCACAUAGCCCAGAUGCUAUACUGUCGUGGGACGGUCAUACGUGUUACUUGGACAGUAAACAAUUCAGAUGGAGCAAAACGACAACAACACAAAGCAAUCCUGUUAUAAGAAUUCUAAGGUCUCAAAUGUAGCAUAAAUGUUCAUAAAUGUACAAGGCAAACACAUACAUAAGUAUAGAAACCACGUGUCUGAAAGAGUACAGGAAGAGCAACCCUGAAGCCAUUUUGACUCUCCCAAAUUGACCUCAAAUAUUUCUCUGCAAGGAGGAAGGAAAUGGGGAAAGCUUUCCAAUUGCCUUUGAUUGUAGCAGCUUACACCUCCCUGCAAGUACAGUCUGGCAAGUUAUCUGAUAAGCUAAGCAAACUAUCAAUAUGUGUAAGAGAUUCAGGAACUGAAGUAUUUAUCAUCUCAAAGGAAUGGCCAGGCUACCCAGAAAAUGCAAUCAAGUAAGGCAUUAUCAGGGACCCUGGCAGACAGGAAAGAAGCAACACUCUCAAAUUUCUGCUGGAGACUGCCUCCUCCUGUGAUGUUUUGGGAGGUGGUCUUGGGGUACAGGGUAGGCAAUUUUAAAAGUAUUUGCAGAGGCUUGCACACCAUUGUUCGGGGCCUUUCUGCUGCAACAGAAAAAAAAAUAAGAAUCUUCCUUGCUUUCUAUGGAUCUUGCCUCCAUCCAUUCAUCUCUGACCUAUCAUGGACUUAGGGGGCUCAGUCCCUAGGGGAGUUGGGCAACAAAAGCCAAGCCCCCUAUAUUUUCUAUGACAAUCCCAACCAUGCUCAGAUUGCCACGUGCAUUCUAGAAAGAGCACGCACGCACGGGCACGCCCUUUGAGGUGGGGCACAGAGGCAGCAAUGUUUCCUGCACAUCGUAUUCCAGGAGCAGUUUAUUCCUCCGAGGCGGCAUUGUUUCCAUAAGGUUACAUAACUGUACCGUCCUUCCAGUACUUCUCAGAACUGCCCGGCUGUUUGCUUUCACUAAGCAAAACGCCAGGCUCUUCGUCCCAUUGAUGUACGAUUACAGAGGGAGAGCGGGAGCAUUUGCUAUCCUGGGCCUAAAGACAGACAGCUAUAUGUAGGCUGUUCCCUACAAACCAUUUUAUCAAGCUUCACUCUGUACAGUUUUGCAUUAAGUUAGUGCAGAUGAUGAACAUUCGUUCUGAGAGAUAGAAGAUGAUAGAUAGAUGAUAGAUAGAUAGAUAGAUAGAUAGAUAGAUAGAUAGAUAGAUAGAUAUAGAUGAUAGACAGAUAGAUAGAUAGAUAGAUAGAUAGAUAGAUAGAUAGAUAGAUAGAUGAUGAUGAUAGAUAGAUAGAUAGAUAGAUAGAUAGAUGAUAGAUAGAUAGAUAGAUGAUAGAUAGAUGGAUGAUAGAUAGAUCAGAACGAAUGCUUGAUCAAUGUUGCACAACAUGUUGCGCGCGCGCGCACACACACACACACACACACACUGUUCAUAAAAGGUUAGAUCCCUUAACCCACUGUAACUAAUGCUAAGAAAAAUAAUUGCAGAUUCCACGCCGCGCCCCACCACUUCUGGUCUGCCUCCCCCCCAUCUUUUCCCCCUUUUUCAUCUCCAGUUUUUAUAAUCUCCUUUGGGGCAUUCCCUUGUCCUCUUGCAACACAUUAACCGCCAGGCGCAGCUGAUGGUGCCAAAACAGACAAAGAAGCUAUAAAAUAUCAGGGUGAGCAAUAGAUUAGGCAUGCAGCUUGAUCAGGCCUGUCUGAGAUAACAGAGCAAAAUCCUGCAUCAAGGUCACCCAAAUUCUAUGGAGCGCAAAAGCAGCGGCCUGCGGCUUGUGUUUAUAUACCACUAUUCAUUUUUAAAAAGGAAAAAAUAAAUGCCAGAGUGNNNNNNNNNNNNNNNNNNNNNNNNNNNNNNNNNNNNNNNNNNNNNNNNNNNNNNNNNNNNNNNNNNNNNNNNNNNNNNNNNNNNNNNNNNNNNNNNNNNNAAUAUAUUUUUCUCUCAUGCAAGGGAGAAGAGCAGCUGAAUACUCCGGCAGCUGUUCAAGGGGCCCCACUGCUAUAAAUAAAAGUAUUUCAAGGUUGUAAAAGGAAAUUAGAGCCAGAGAGCAAAAGGUCACACUGACCAGAAUACAAUCAAGCUGUAAAAACACAAUUAAGAACUGGUAAAUAGUGAAAUUUAUUGUUUAACAGAAGACUCGAGCCAUAAGGUUAAAGGUUAAAUGGAAGAGGUUGCUCUUAGAAACAGCUGCUGGAUAGGGAAAAGGUUUCUUUAUAGAACUUAGGAACUUAGCUUUCACUAAGUUCCUUCUAAUUUGAAAAGGCCUUUCCUUCUAAAAAUCUAUCUAUGUUAUGUAUGAAAUAUAUUGGCUUAAAUGUGAUUAUGCAAAGGAUUUAGAAAGUAAGAAAUGUUAGAUUCUUAUGUUAGAUUCCUAUUAUGGUGGGUGAGAAGGUGAACUCAAGAUCUCUUUAAGAUAAAAAAAUUAGAAACCAUGCACCAUCUGCUUUAGCCAUCUGGUUUGCGGUGAAUAGGGCAACAGGGGCCAAAGGUUAUCUGGUAAUUGAGGUGCCUGGUCGAGGUAAAUGUAAGAUAUAUGGCUACUUGUCUGCCAUUUAUGGAUACAAGGAAAUAUAGCUUUUGUCUCCCAUAAAAGGGAAUAGGAAAUGGGUGUAUCUUUUAUGAUUGGUUCUAGCAAACAACCAAUAGGAAUUUCAACCAGGCUGAUUGGACAGAGGCAGCCAAAGGAGGAGCAAGGGGGCUGGGCUGAGGAAAUAUAAGUGCUGGCCAUCAGGGCUGGAGUAGGCAGAGCUUUGGUAUCCAUAUACCACUGUGUCUCUCAUUUAUUUGUCUGACAAAUAAAUUAUUAUUUUAAUUUCUCUAUUGCUGCGUUGAAUAUUUCAUUCCAGCUAAGCGUUAACCACAAGCAGGGUGCUACAUUUUAUGGUGCCUCUGUGACUCGGAUAAGUGGUCUGCUGGAACGCAGCCCCUUCGCCCUAGCGGGCAGGGUACAAGAGGGAGGACCACUGACCGCUUACCCAGCGCGCACUGGAACAUUUUUCCAGGGGAACGCAGAAGUCUCGUCUGUCUGAUACCCUGCUCACUGGCGGCGACGGACCGGGGUAACCAGAGAAAUAAACAGGGAACCAGCUAAGGGUAAGUGCACAAAGGGGUUGUGGCCCUCCAAUUAAUUGGGAGGAAGAGAAGUCUUGAUCAAACUUCUGCGUCUCAGUAAGGGGGAACUGAGUACGCUAGGUGGUUGGGUACAUCAGAUGGUGGUCUGGUGGAGGGAAAAGGGAAAGAUUGGGAGGUAGAGUGUGGUGAAGUAUCCAGCGCAUUGUAUGUGUGAGAAAGUACAAUUUGUAGCUGACCUGAGUGUGGAGUGGGUAGUACUUCGGUUCCUAGUAAGGCGACUUCACUAGGCAAGGAUCCCCACGAAGCGUGUGUGUGAGUGACUGAGUGGAUACUUCACAGGGCCAUACAAUGGGAGUUGGAGGUUCAAAGGGGAAAAUACACCUCUUGAAUGUAUGUUAAAUAAUUUUAAGAAAGCCUUCUCAGGAGCAUAUGGAGUCAAAAUGACGCCAGAGCGCUUGAGAACGUUAUGUGAAUUAGACUGGCCAAAACAAAAUACUGGAUGGCCACCUCAGGGAAGUUUUGAUAUAAAUUUAGCAAGCAAACUUUGGUCUAACAUCACCAAAGAAACUGGAGGGUGCCCAGAACAAUUUUCAUAUAUAGAUUCUUGGCUGAGCACAUUAAAUAAUAAUCCUCCAUGGAUAAGGGAAUGCAAAGUCCAACAAUGCAAAUUAUUGGCAGUAAAAGCCGAAGCUAGAAAAGGAAUCUUGCCAAAUAAACUCAAACCCAUUUUUGAGGGACCAGAGGAAGAGGUGCUUCCACCUCCACCCUAUGCUCCACAUCGAGGGAGCCUAAUCCAAACACUCCACCAGUUGUAACCCCAAGGCAAGAAAGUGGAAGGAAUAAUGGGGCUGGAGUCACAGAGCUUGAUUCCUUGAUAGAUUAUGAUAAAUAUCUUCAGGAGGCAUUGGAGUCCUAUAAUAAAGCCCAAGCAGAAGUGGUUAUUCCACCUGUGAGUCCCAGUAGAACUCCAUCCACAGUCUCCUUUAGUGGAACAACUGAUUGCCCACCCCAAACCCCUGUACAUCCAAGUCCUAGAGAACUAUUACAGGAGUUACAGGGAGACUUUGAUCGGUCAGUAAGCAAUACAGCCAGGCGUAUAAAGCUGUUAAAAGAACGCCUUGGGACAAAUACUAUCCCCUAUGAUUUGAGGCCCCUAAAGCAAAGCGAAGAGAAAGGUCACGUAGUAGCCCCUCUCAGAAGAGUAUUUGAUGCACUUGAGGAGCCUGUGCUGGUUAACGGGCAACUCGGACCACGGCCACCUCGAACUUCGACCCUCCAGUACAUUCCAUUCACAACUACGGAUCUGAUGAAUUGGAAAACACACACCCCGUCUUUCGCAGAAAAACCUCAGGCUAUGAUGGACUUGGUGACUUCAAUAGUAAAUACUCAUAGUCCUACUUGGACAGAUUGCCGCCAGCUCCUGAAUACUCUGUUCACCACUGAGGAAAGAAGAGACAUAAUUGAAAAGGCACAGAUAUAUUUGCGUGAGCAGGCCAGAGUGGGAAAUAUUCUUAAUGUUGACCGUCAUCUCCAGGACAAUUUUCCCUUGGAGGAUCCUAAUUGGGAUCCAAACAAUGCAAUUCACCUGGCCAGGCUUACCACCUACCGCCAGACGCUUGUGCAAGGUAUCCGCAGGGCAUGCCAGAAGCCCACUAAUAUGACUAAAGUCUCAGAAGUAGAACAGAAACCGAAUGAGAGUCCGGGAGACUUUUAGAGAGGCUGCAGGAAGCCUAUCGUAUAUGGACUCCUUUUGACCCUGAAGCCCCUGCAAACAGCAGAAUGAUUACUGCUACUUUUGUGGCUCAGUGCGCUUCUGACAUUCGUAAGAAAAUUCAGAAGUCAGAAGGAUGGGAAGGGAUGCUGAUGAGCCAAAUUAUGGCCAUUGCACGCCGAGUUUAUCGGAAUAGGGAUGAGGCUGAGAAACAAGAGAAGAAGAAGUGGCAGAAGGAAAAGAUGGUGAUGCUAGCCACAGCAGUGAAGCAAGACUACCGCCCUUUAAAUGGAGGGAGAGGGCGGGGAAGGAAUCCACCACUGGGAAGGAAUCAAUGUGCGAAUUGCAAGAAGGAGGGUCAUUGGAAGCGGGAGUGUCCUGAACCCCUGAGGUUGGAAGAAGUACGCCCAGGCCCAGGCCCAGGCUCCGGCCCAAGAAACCAGGGACGGGGACGGGGAAUGAUCCGAGAUGGAAGAUAUCAGAGACCUGGACAAGGACGGAGUAGAGACAAUUUCAUUGGACUGGCAGAGGAGGAUUUUACCCAAGACUAGGAACGACCGGACUCCAUAAAGUUAGGCUUCCAGGAGCCCACGGUCAAAAUUCAAUUAGGGAGCCAUUUAAUAGACUUUAUGAUAGAUACUGGCGCUGAAUACUCAGUACUCCCAGAACUAUUGCAGAAAAAGGCAUCCAAAAGUGUAGUCAUUAAAAGUGCCACUGGUCAGUCAGCUAAGAGGUCUUUCCUCCAACCUUUAGAAUGCCAGAUUGGGGGACAUCAUUUAACCCAUCAGUUUUUGUAUAUACCUGAGUGUCCAAUGCCUCUCUUAGGUAGAGAUAUGCUGUCCAAAUUGCAGGCCCAAAUCACCUUCACUCCUCGAGGUCCAGAAAUGAAACUGCCAUCAAAGGCAGCAGGAAUAAUUUCCCUCUCAGUACCUAAGGAACAAUCAUGGCGCCUAAUGUCAGCCCUGCAAGUCCAACCCACAUUGGAUACAGAAUUAAACAAGCUCCUCCGAACCCUACAAGUGCCACCAGGAGUAUGGGCCGAAAAUAGCCCACCAGGAAUGGCUAAGAAUAUAGCUCCAAUUGUAGUAACCCUAAAACCUAUGGCUACCCCUGUAUCUGUAAAGCAAUAUCCUUUACCCCGGCGAGCAGCAGAGGGCAUCCAGAAACAUUUGGACCGCCUAUUAAAAUAUGGUCUGCUUAAGCCCUGCCAAUCAGAAUGGAACACACCCCUUUUGCCUGUUCGGAAGCCUGGGACAGAUGAAUACAGGCCAGUACAGGACUUGAGGCUCGUAAACCAGGCUAUCGAGACCUUGCACCCAAAUGUACCAAACCCAUAUACCUUGCUGAGUUUGAUCCCACCAGAAGCAACAUUUACUGUAUUGGACUUGAAAGAUGCAUUCUUCUGUUGCCGGCUGGCACCACAGAGCCAACCUAUAUUUGCCUUCCAGUGGGAAGACCCUUUGACAGGAACAAAAGGCCAGCUAACCUGGACAAGAUUGCCCCAGGGAUUCAAAAAUUCCUCAACUUUAUUUGGCACUGCCUUGGCGAAGGAUCUAACAAGUUACCCUCAAUACCUGGAAAAAAGGUGGUUCUGCAAUAUGUAGAUGACCUUAUACUAGCGGCAAAGGAUUUUGAUACCUGUAAAGAAGGGACAGAGGAACUGCUCCACUUGCUCUGGGAAGCUGGCUACCGAGUUUCCCAGAAAAAGGCACAGUUAUGUUUAGAAAAGGUCAAAUAUUUGGGCUUUGACAUCUCACACCAACAACGAGCAUUGAGACCAGAGAGGAAAGAAGCUAUUUGCCUUAUCAAGGAACCUACCACAAGGAAACAACUCAGAGGAUUCCUGGGAACAGCAGGGUUUUGUAGACUAUGGAUACCUGAUUUCAGCAGUCUGGCCAAGCCCUUACAUGAAAGCACUCGAGGUGCAGAAAAGGACCCAUUCGUAUGGGGACCUGAGCAGCAACAAGCCUUUUAGUUAUCAAACAACGACUUAUGGAGGCCCCAGCCCUUGGACUGCCUAAUUGGAAAAACCCUUUCAGCUGUAUGUACAUGAACAGAAUGGGAUUGCAGCAGCAGUCCUGACCCAGAGAUUAGGAAGUUGGAACCGUCCAGUAGCUUAUUUGUCAAAACAAUUGGACUCAGUAGCAAAGGAUGGCCUCCAUGCCUAAGGGCAGUAGCGGCCACUGCAAGCCUUGUCAAAGAAGCUGAUAAAUUUACCUUUGGCCAGACGAUGUAUGUGAAUGUACCUCAUGCUGUUCUGACACUCAUGGAAUAUAAGGGUAGUUAUUGGCUAACGAAUCCAAGGAUGGCUAGAUACCAAGGCCUAUUGUGUGAAAAUCCCAGGAUUCAUCUACGAGUAGUGAAUAUGCUCAAUCCAGCAACUUUGCUGCCCCUACCAGAGGUAGAUGAUGAAGAAUCACAUGACUGUCUCCAAAUAAUGGAUGAAGUGUAUUCCAGUAGACCCGAUCUGAAAGAUGAACCAUUGAAAAAUCCAGAUGUUGUAUAUUAUACUGAUGGUAGCAGUUACCUGCAUGAAGGUGCCAGACGAGCAGGAUAUGCUGUGGUCACCAAUGAGGAAGUUGUGGAAGCUGAAGCUUUGCCUGCUGGCACCUCAGCACAAAAGGCUGAACUUAUAGGUUUAACUAGAGCUCUGCAAUUGGCAGCCGGAUGUAAGGCAAACAUCUAUACUGAUUCUAAAUAUGCCUUCUUAACCCUGCAUGCACAUGGAGCUCUAUGGAAAGAAAGAGGUCUAAUCGGAGCCCAUGGGAAGGCCUUGAAAUAUGGACCUGAAGUAGAAAUCCUGUUGGAAGCAGUAUGGGCUCCAGAACAGAUUGCUGUAAUGCACUGCAAAGGUCAUGGACGUGGAAGGGAUCCAAUAACCAGAGGAAAUCAUGCUGCUGACAAAGCAGCCCGAGAGGCAGCCCAGAAGCCUGUGGGAGGAUUUAUAGCAGCCCUCAUACCAGAGGUAGUUCCAGAAGAAAUUAAACCUCACUAUACCCCAGAAGAGAGGAAGUGGGCUGAACAGGAAGGAGCGGUUGUGAAGGACGGUUGGAUGAUCCUGCCGGACAAUAGGAUUUAUGUACCUCAUCACCUAGCAGGCACAAUUGUAAGAAAUUAUCAUGAAUCUACUCACCUUGGCGGUACUGCAACCAGAGAGAGUCUUAGUCGGAAGUUGUAUAUUAUUAACCUAUCACAAUUAGCAACUUGCAUUUCACAGAAAUGUGUUCUUUGUGCUAAAAACAAUCCCAGGCAGGGACCGGUACAACCUCCUGGAAUCCUGAUGAGCUCAUACAAGGGGCACGGGAUCCUAUUUAUAAUCUAAACAGAAUAAUUCGAUUGCAAGCAGUAGUGGAACUUGUAACCAAUGCAACGGCCCAGAGUUUGAGACUUAUUGCACAACAGUUGGAUGAAAGUAGAGCCGCCAUUUUGCAGCUGAAAAUGGGAAUGGAUUAUGUACUUGCCAGGCAGGGAGGCCUAUGUGGAGUCUUAAACUUGACAGGGAAUGCCUGUUGCUUUAACAUUUCUGAUAAUGGUGAGGCAAUCCGUGUGUUGGCCACAAAGAUGGAGAGUAUAGCACAUGUCCCAGUACAAAUAUGGGAAGGAUGGGAUAUGGGAUGGCUCACCAAUUGGUUACCUAAUGUUGCGGGACUCAAAGGGAUACUAUUGUCUUGCUUGUUUUUCUUGACGGUAGUAGUAAUGGUUUUAUGUACGGUGCCAUGUAUCAUUUCAUGUUUUAGAAGUACAAUUAGCAAGAUGAUUUCAAAUGAAACUUUACCUCAUAUUAUGGCCCUAUACAGAGCUUUACCUCAGGAAUAUGACGAAGGUCAAGCUAUCAAGGACACUUGGGAUGAAGGUCCUUGAGCUUGAAAGGGGGGAAUGAGGCAUCUGAUCAAAAUCUGCUUUGAGCUUAAAAAUUAUAUUUGUAAAUAUAUUUUUCUCUCAUGCAAGGGAGAAGAGCAGCUGAAUACUCCGGCAGCUGUUCAAGGGGCCCCACUGCUAUAAAUAAAAGUAUUUCAAGGUUGUAAAAGGAAAUUAGAGCCAGAGAGCAAAAGGUCACACUGACCAGAAUACAAUCAAGCUGUAAAAACACAAUUAAGAACUGGUAAAUAGUGAAAUUUAUUGUUUAACAGAAGACUCGAGCCAUAAGGUUAAAGGUUAAAUGGAAGAGGUUGCUCUUAGAAACAGCUGCUGGAUAGGGAAAAGGUUUCUUUAUAGAACUUAGGAACUUAGCUUUCACUAAGUUCCUUCUAAUUUGAAAAGGCCUUUCCUUCUAAAAAUCUAUCUAUGUUAUGUAUGAAAUAUAUUGGCUUAAAUGUGAUUAUGCAAAGGAUUUAGAAAGUAAGAAAUGUUAGAUUCUUAUGUUAGAUUCCUAUUAUGGUGGGUGAGAAGGUGAACUCAAGAUCUCUUUAAGAUAAAAAAAUUAGAAACCAUGCACCAUCUGCUUUAGCCAUCUGGUUUGCGGUGAAUAGGGCAACAGGGGCCAAAGGUUAUCUGGUAAUUGAGGUGCCUGGUCGAGGUAAAUGUAAGAUAUAUGGCUACUUGUCUGCCAUUUAUGGAUACAAGGAAAUAUAGCUUUUGUCUCCCAUAAAAGGGAAUAGGAAAUGGGUGUAUCUUUUAUGAUUGGUUCUAGCAAACAACCAAUAGGAAUUUCAACCAGGCUGAUUGGACAGAGGCAGCCAAAGGAGGAGCAAGGGGGCUGGGCUGAGGAAAUAUAAGUGCUGGCCAUCAGGGCUGGAGUAGGCAGAGCUUUGGUAUCCAUAUACCACUGUGUCUCUCAUUUAUUUGUCUGACAAAUAAAUUAUUAUUUUAAUUUCUCUAUUGCUGCGUUGAAUAUUUCAUUCCAGCUAAGCGUUAACCACAAGCAGGGUGCUACAGUAUACAGUACAACAAUCCUGUGUAAAACCACCCGGUAAAAAGCAUAUAAAAAUGCUGAAAUCAGCUAACUUAUUGUGGAAAGGUAUAUUGUUAAUUGCCUGCAGAAGCCUGACAGAAUAGGAAAGCUUGCAGGAGAUGUCUAAAGAUGGCACAGAAGUAGGGUUGCCAUAUUUCAAAAAAAUAUUUCAGAAAUCCCCCCCCCCCCGACAUCAAUUCUGCCUUUGAAAUCCCAGUAAUGUCCAGGAAAAUCUGGACAUAUGGCAGCCCUACACAGAAGAUACCUGCUGAAUCUCUACUGGCAGAGUAUUCUACAGGACUGGGCGCAUGACACUAAAGGCUUCUUCUUAUUAUUAAUAUAAUUAUUCAAGUAAUUUCAAUUAAAACAAAUAAAGUGAUGCAGAAAAAAAGAAGGAAAAGUGAGGGGGAGGGAGAAAAGAACAAACUAAUAUAUAAGAGAAAAUAUAUUUACAAAAAUACAAGAUACUCCCAUACAUCCUUAUAUAAACUGAUGUUGUGUCAUUAUCCUAAUGUUUAAAGGGACAUAGUAUCAAAUGACUGUAGAGUUGGAAGGGACCCUGAGGAUCAUCUAGUCCAACCCCCUGCAAUGCAGGAAUAUGCAGCCCUCCCAUAUGGGGAUCGAACCUGCAACCUUGGCAUCAUCCGCACCACCCUCUAGAUAGAUCAGCCACCUGACCAUUAGGUCCAGUCAUGACCGACUCUGGGGUUGCGGCACUCAUCUCGCUUUAUUGGCCGAGGGAGCCGACAUACAGCUUCCGGGUCAUGUGGCCAGCAUGACUAAACCACUUCUGGCGAACCAGAGCAGCACACGGAAACGCCGUUUACCUUCCCGCCGGAGCGGUACCUAUUUAUCUACUUGCACUUUGACGUGCUUUCGAACUGCUAGGUUGGCAGGAGCAGGGACCCAGCAACAGGAGCUCACCCUGUUGCAGGGAUUCGAACUGCCGACCUUCUGAUCAGCAAGUCCUGGGCUCUAUGGUUUAACCCACAGCGCCACCCGCGUCCCUAUCCUAAUGUUUAUGUAAAUGUUAAUUUACAUUCUGUAUAAACUCAUUUCAAAUGUUAUCAUAAAUAUGAUAACUAAAGGCUUGUUGAUGUCAGAUGAGCCUUGCCAACUCAGGGAGCAACAAUCAACAGCUCUCCUGCACACGAUCUCAGUGAUCAAGCUGGGAUAGAAGGGUACCCUGCAAAAUUGUAUGGCGUUUCUCAGCAUUGCCAUUAUCCCACAUUGUCCGGUCACUUUUCCCCAUCACUUUUUUUUAACCGCAAAAAUAAUCUGGUUUUAAGAAUCCAGGGUAGGUGGGUGGGAAGGAAGUAGGCUUGGUGAGCAAGGGCCCAAACCCACUUUAAUUGCACAAGCUGAAUCUGCUGCUAUACAAUUUAAUGAUACCCACAACAUAAUGACAGUCUGGAAGUGGCCUGAGUCUUUCUCCUCAAUUCCCCAACGAGUAGAAAGCCAGGUCAGCUUUUAGAAGAGUCGAAUCUCCUCUGGAGGAGACAGAAGCAGGCUUUAUGGCGGGGGGGAGGGGGUUUGCAGCCCUCCAGGGGUCAGCAAUCCCUGUAUGAUCUAGGCGCUCGCCUGAUAAGAGUAAGAGGUGACAUGAUGGAAGUUUAUAAAAUUAUGCAUGGCAUAGAGAAGGUGUAUAUAGCAAAGUUUUCCUCCCUCUCUCAUAGUGCUAGAACUCGUGGGCAUCCAAUGAAGCCAAUAGUUGGAAGGAUUCAAGAUAGAAAAAAGAAAGUCCUUCACACGGUACAUAAACUACAGAACUCCCUCCCACAGAAAGCAGCGAUAACUACCAACCUGGAUGGCUUUAAAAGAGGAUUGGACAAAUUCAUGGUAAGGUAAAAUGUUAAGGACCCCUGGAUAGUUACGUCCAGUCAAAAGUGACUAUGGGGUUGCGACGCUUAUUUCGCUUUCAGGCUGAGGGAGCCAACAUUUGUCCACAGACAGCUUUCUGGGUCAUGUGGCCAGCAGGACUAAACCGCUUCUGGCACAACCGGACACCAUGACAGAAACCAGAGCGCACAGAAAUGCCGUUUGCCUUCCCGCCACAGCAGUACCUAUUUAUCUACUUGCACUGGUGUGCUUUCGAGCUGCUAGGUUGGCAGGAGCUGGGACAGAGCAGCGGGAUCUCACCCUGUCAUGGGGAUUUGAACCGCCGACCUUCCAGUCGGCAAGCCCAAGAGGCUCAGUGGUUUAGACCACAUUGCCAUAAGGCUAUUGGUGGCUGCUAGUCACAACGGCUAUGCUCUGCCUCCACAGUCAGAGGCAGCAAUGCUUAUGAAUGCUAGUUGCUGGAAGCUGCAGGAGGAGAGGGUUCUCUUCUGUGCGAAUCCUGCUUGCUGGUUUCUGUUGGCCUAACCCAGCAGGCUCUUCUUAUGUUCCUAGAAGGCAUAGGUGGUGUUGGAGGGGGGAGUGCAGGGGGGGACAAAAAACAAGGAGCUGGCCCCUCUACUUGCCCCCUCCCGAUCACAGCACUCCUGUCACCAUAUACUGCUUUCUUUCCGAUAGCUCAAUAUGUGGCAUGCAACUCGCAAACUUUGAAAUAGACUUUGUCCCUUCUGUGCCCCCCUCCAUGAAUUUCUGCCACCACCACUGAGUGCAGAGGAGCAAAACUGGACAGCAUUGCCUCAUGGUUGGAGGUGAUAGUCCUCCCCACACACCAAUCCCUCAUAGUCUUUUUCUUUUCUUAUGGCAGCUGUUGGCCAGCUGAAUACAGUGGUACCUCGGGUUACAGACACUUCAGGUUACAGGCUCUGCUAACCCAGAAAUAGUACCUCAGGUUAAGAACUUUGCUUCAGGAUGAGAACAGAAAUCGUGUGGCGGCGGCAGGAGGCCCCAUUAGCUAAAGUGGUAUCUCAGGUUAAGAACAGUUUCAGGUUAAGAACGGACCUCCAGAACGAAUUAAGUUCUUAACCCGAGGUACCACUGUAUGAAGAUUAGCAACGCAGCAUUUCCAAGAAAGGGGAAGCAAUCCCAAACACUUCUAGCUCUUGUGUUUGGCUUUCUGCAGAAACCGAGCAAAUAUUUUGUUCUCUCCUGAUUACAAAACCUCUUGCGGUUUGAGACAGGGAACACCAAAAACAUGUGACUGAGCAACCAGUCGGUCGGUUCACGGUGAGAACAAACUCGAGAGACCAAAACGAGAAGGGAGGGAGAACAGCUUGUGGUGUGCUAAGAAAACAAGAACAUCUUAUUUUGAUGCAGACAGCGCAACAGGCACCGACAAGCCUUUCGUGUCAGAGGUUGCUUGUGGGGGCAGACUCCAGAGGCUAAGGCAUCUGUCAUGGAUGCUUUAGUUGAGAUUCCUGCAUUGCAGAGGGUUCGACUAGAUAACUGCCAGGGGUCCUUUCCAGUUCCACAAUUCUAUGAUUCUAUGGUCCCAGUUUUCAAAGGGCCAUCUCUGUUCUCUGGCCACCUGUCCCUGACCCUAUUUUCACCUGUUAUAUAAGUCUUGUGAAAAAGUUGCUGUGACUCGACUUCUGUUUUUGGAGAGUUUUGCUCCCUUCCCAGGAAUUUCUGGGUGGCAGGCAGAGAGAUCUCAUUCUCUAUUGCGUAUGCAUGAAAGUGCUCACACACAGACAUUAAGGGGACAGGGAGGCCACUGUGAUUUUACAUGCUUUUGGGGAGAACCUCCCCAAGUUCUAUUUAAAACAAUGUUUUUAAAGAAAACAAUAAAGUAUGGUUUAAUUUAAUCACAUGUGUAUAUAUUAAAGAUAAAGACAAAAACCUUUUAUUUCAAUACGCUGUGAUGUGAAAUGCUUAAGAUAAGUUAUCAAUUUGUGGCUAUUUACACUGAUACAUUUUAUAAUAUCUCCCCAACAUUUUGAUAUUGAUAUUUUUGAUACUUUGUGAUAAUUCUGUUUUCAAGAUAAUUUUAAUGAAUUUUGAUGUUUUAAAUGUUUUUAAAUACUUUCCCAUUGGACGAGGAUUAAGGGGGUGGGGGGAUAUUUGCUGGCUCAGGCCAGUGGCCAUCUAAUCUAGCCUCCUGCCCUCGCAGUGCUAACCAGAUGCCUUUUUAAUGAGAAACCUACAAACUGGGCCUGAGCACAAGAGCCCUCUUCCCUCCUGUGGUUUCCAGAGACUGGUAUUCGGAAGCAUUUCUGCCUCCGACUACUCCCCAAAUUUGUCCAAUCCUCUUUAAAGCCAUCUGCGUUGGCAACCAUCGCCGCCUCCUGCAGCAGUGAGUUCCAUUUUGCAUGCAGUUUUGUGUUUCAGUUUUGUGUAUUGUUCCAGAAAGUGCAAGAGAGGUAAGUUCACCUGUGUAUUGGAACUUAAUCAGAUUUCUCCCACAUCCCUACCCUCCAGGUCCUAGAAUCAUAGAAGGGUAGAGUUGGGACCCCAGUGGGUCAUCUAGUCCAACCCGCUGCAAUGCUGGCAUCACAGUUAAAGAAUCCCUGACAGUUUGCCAUCCAACCUCUGCUUAAAAACCUCCAAUGAAGGAGAGUCUGCCAUCCUGCUGGACCAUAACUUCUUUCAUCCCUUGCCCUUGGUGAUCUCAGCAGGUUCCCCAGCCCUGCAUUAAGGAAAGGAAAUAGUUUUAUUUUUAUCAUAUGGCUUGUAGUGAGGUUAAAGCUUACUGGGAAAUGAUAUAUAAUGAAUUGAAAAGGGUGUUUAAAAUAACAUUUGUAAAAGAAUAAUAAUACAAGAAGCUUUUCUUUUGGGAAUUAUAGGGACAGAACUACCUAAAUUCUAUAGAAAUAUAUUUAUGUAUGCAACUACAGUGGCAAGAAUACUACUCGCCCCAGAAUGGAAAGAAGCAGAAGUCCCAGCAAAGGAAGAAUGGAUACAAAAACUUAUGGAAUAUGCAGAAAUGGCGAAACUUACCGGAAGAAUAAGAAAUCAAGAUAACAAACUCUUUUUUUUAAAUAAAGGAAUGGAAAUGGUUUAUUGAAUAUUUACUGAUAAAUUGUAAACAGAUAAGAACAUUGGCAGGAUUAUUGUAAUAACCUGCAGUUUCAUAAGAGUAUAUAUUUAAAGUCGAAGAAUAAAUGAGAAAAUUAAGUUAAUUUGGAUAUGCAGAAGGUAUUAAAAAUAAAUUCAAGGAGCCGCAGAAAGAGGGGGGAAGGAAGUCAAGUUUUGAAAUGUUAAAAUGAUUGUAAAAUUAGUGAAAUGUAUAAAUCUGAAAAGCAUAAAUAUUUAUUUUUAUUUUUUAAAGGAGAGGAAAUAGUUCGGGCUGAAAUCAGCAAGAAGGAAAAAAAAGUCAUCUGUUUACUGUUGCUCACGCGCUGCUCCAUCUUUGACCUCUUGCCUGUGUUUUUUAUGGGGCAUGUAGGUAAAUCGCUGUACUAAUAUGAUGUGUGUUUCAAACAGUAUUGACUCACUUCACAGCACAUAUGACAGGCUGCCAACUUUGCAAUCCACCCUUUGCAGCUGGAUGCUGAACAGUUCCUUGAUGUGCAGGCGCGUAAACAGGUGAUCAUGUUUCUCUCCAUGCUGAGCAAAGCGCUUCAAGAUGCUCAGAUCCGUUAAGUCAGACUCUGGGUCUUUCUUUUUUGGCAGCAGCGGGUGGGCGGAGUGCCAGUUUUGUCAAACCCACUGGUUUCCAUCCGCUCAGCCUACCCACUGGAAUUUGCAAGGAUGUUUCAUGGGAAUGAGAUGCAUUCCAUCGCUACAGAACAUCCCUGUGGCAAUGAUUUUGCUAUAACCUCAGGACGCAAGUCACGGGACUUAUAGCUCACUUAUAGGAGCACCGACAGGUUAAUUUCAUGCCUGAGGCAGUAGAAUAAAAAUAAAAAUAAUGAGGCAGUGAGUUCCAAGGGUGAAGGAUAAGCCAGAUUCUGUGCACAGAUUUGUAGGCACAGAUCAUCCUCUAGAAUAAAAUAGCUGACUAGGGAAAUGCUGAAGUUGCCCUUUGGGGCGCCUCAGGGUCAAUUUUUUAUGGUAGCCCAAAUCUCAGUUGUACGGGUGUAUGUAUAUAUCUCAAUUUUAACUCAUGAGCUAUUGCUUCAAUCUGCUCUGAUUGUAUAUUUUAUCUUUAUGAACACUGUUUUUAUUGUGUUAUGUUAUGUGAGCUGGUCUUUGACCGUAAUAAAUUAUCUAAGACUGUAGAUUAUGCGUAUAGAAGAAGCCAUAUCUAUUCCUUACUUUCCUCAUUUCAUAAGAAAUUUACAUGUCCAAACAGGUUGCGAUAGAGACAAGUGGGUGGGCCUUUUCCCAUCUUACCUGGCUGGAUGUCAUGGCAAGGAGGGCUGUGUGUGUGGGAAUUGUGUGCUAUAAUUUUUUCUUAGUGGUGCUGGAAGCUGGAGACACAGAGACAUGUCUGCUCUGUGCUGGAUUUUGGGCUCCUCUGGAAACCUAACAGAGGAACAAGGAUCUGCUGGGGUGCUAAUGCUGCGAGCCCUCCCAUGCUAUGUUCAGGUUGCAGAUAUGUGUAAAUAAGCGACAUAUCCUAAAGAUACCACAGACUCCAUUGUCCUUCAUUCCAAGGAAACAGAACCCCAGAUAAGUGCGGACAUUCCUGGAGUCUCUCAUCACUCGUAGAUUGGGGUUGAGAGUAACAAUGUAUCUCCUCUUAAAAAAUGUAUGUAUUGUAAUUGAUUGCAUGUAAUUGACUAAACACUUUCUAACUGAUCAUAUUUCAUUUUGAUCUGGGUAUCGUAAAGUGUUUUUCUCAAGCGCUAUGGCUGCC
rnacentral:lncRNA from 1 species